rnacentral:rRNA from 1 species
AUACCUACGGGGCGCAGCAGUGAGGAAUAUUGGUCAAUGGUCGGGAGACUGAACCAGCCAGGCCGCGUGAGGGAUGAAGGUACAGAGUAUCGUAAACCUCUUUUGUCAGGGAACAAAGGCGGGGACGUGUCCCCGGAUGAGUGUACCUGAAGAAAAAGCAUCGGCUAACUCCGUGCCAGCAGCCGCGGUAAUACGGAGGAUGCGAGCGUUAUCCGGUUUUAUUGGGUUUAAAGGGUGCGCAGGCGGUCUGUUAAGUAAGCGGUCAAAGCCCGGGGCUCACCCCCGGCCCGCCGGUGAA